GUGCUCACUUUGGCAGCACAUAUACUAAAAUAGUAACCAUGUAGAUAUGAUUAGCAUAGCCCCAAUGAAAAGGUGACAUAAAAUCUGGGUAACAUUUACAUUUUUGU
rnacentral:snRNA from 1 species